AGAGCCGAAGAAAGAUUCCUUUGAAUAUACACAAACCCCCUUUGUUCUUUUGAAUGGGACCAUGAAUUAAAAUGCUGUUCGGAGACAACUAUCUGUUGCCGAAGCCAAUACCAGGAAAUCGAGGAUAAAAAUUGUUUCUGUUUAAAUUAAAUUUAAUUGAAGCAAUAACCCUCCAUCAGACUUCGUAUAAAGAAAGGAUGCCAUAGUAAGAAGACGACCGACGCGACGGCGACGUGGGAAUCGGCUAUUUGUAUCCUUUUUUCGUAGAAACCGCUGUUCAAGAGUCCGUAUUAAACGAUCCAAAUCGGUCAAUUCCACUAUGCGGUGGCGAUCUAUAGAAUUGUGUAUAGCUCAGACCACAUUACAUAGUAUUUGCGUAAGGAUCAUGGUUUA